AACGCAUCUUGCGCCUCUUGGUAUUCCGAGAGGCACACUUGUUUGAGUGUCAUGACUAUCUCGAAUCUUAUAAGAAUCCUUAUAGGAUCGGAUUAUGAGUGUUGCUGUGCUAACAGCUCGCUUUAAAUGUAUUAGUCUCUUUAUGUCGGAUUGACUUGGUGUAAUAAGACUUUCACCAAAGGAUGCUUCUGCAGCCGACUGACAAGGUACUGCCAAAUUUACAACCCCAUUUAGACCUCAAAUCAAGUGGGACUACCCGCUGAACUUAA
rnacentral:misc_RNA from 1 species